UACAGAGGGUGCGAGCGUUGUUCGGAAUUACUGGGCGUAAAGCGCGCGUAGGCGGCUUUGUAAGUUAGAGGUGAAAGCCCAGGGCUCAACCCUGGAAUUGCCUUUAAGACUGCAUCGCUUGAACAUCGGAGAGGUAAGUGGAAUUCCGAGUGUAGAGGUGAAAUUCGUAGAUAUUCGGAAGAACACCAGUGGCGAAGGCGACUUACUGGACGAUUGUUGACGCUGAGGUGCGAAAGCGUGGGGAGCAAACAAGG
rnacentral:rRNA from 1 species